rnacentral:rRNA from 1 species
UCCUGCAGAGAUGUGGGAGUGCUCGAAAGAGAACCUGGACACAGGUGCUGCAUGGCCGUCGUCAGCUCGUGUCGUGAGAUGUUGGGUUAAGUCCCGCAACGAGCGCAACCCUUGUCAUUAGUUGCUACGAAAGGGCACUCUAAUGAGACUGCCGGUGACAAACCGGAGGAAGGUGGGGAUGACGUCAGGUCAUCAUGGCCCUUAUGGGUAGGGCUACACACGUCAUACAAUGGCCGGGACAGAGGGCUGCCAACCCGCGAGGGGGAGCUAAUCCCAGAAACCCGGUCGUAGUCCGGAUCGUAGUCUGCAACUCGACUGCGUGAAGUCGGAAUCGCUAGUAAUCGCGGAUCAGCUUGCCGCGGUGAAUACGUUCCCGGGUCUUGUACACACCGCCCGUCACACCAUGG